rnacentral:rRNA from 1 species
CUCGUAGGCGGGCCAACUAAGUCGGAUGUGAAAUCCCCAGGCUUAACUUGGGAACUGCGUCCGAUACUGGAUGGCUUGAAUCCGGGAGAGGGAUGCGGAAUUCCAGGUGUAGCGGUGAAAUGCGUAGAUAUCUGGAGGAACACCGGUGGCGAAGGCGGCAUCCUGGACCGGUAUUGACGCUGAGUGUAGCGAAAGCCAGGGGAGCAAACG